UCUGCAUGGAGAGGUUUCUCUCGAAGGAAGCGUUCGAGGUGCACCGAAGGACCUCGCCAUCGUCAACAGGCGACGGCGAAGGCGAGCGACGAUGGUCGUACUGCGGCGGUUGCGGAGGGCGUUGGAAGUCCGCCAUCGUCGACGAUUCCUUGCUGUGCCUUCUUCUGAAGGUGUCGUUCUGCUGUUCGAGGAGAUUCGAAUUGGGAAGGGGUUCAUCGAAGGAGACCUUCAGCUCCCUGGAAUUGCGAAAGUUCACCGGAGACUCCUCAACCGUCGGCGAUUCUCUAUUGUGCCUUCUUCUGAAGGGGUCGUUCUGCUGUUCGAGGAGAUUCGAAUCGGAAAGGCGUUCAUCGAAGGAGACCUUCAGCUCCCUGGAAUUGCGAUGGUUCACCGGAGACUCCUCCACCGGCGUCAACCUUCCUUCGCCGGC
rnacentral:lncRNA from 1 species